rnacentral:sRNA from 1 species
GGACAUGUUUGUACCCACGGAUUAAUCAUCAACUGAAGAUUGUCAAUUUGGCACUGAAGCCACAUACGCAAUGAAAAGAGAUAUUAUUACCAUAACUUUUGCUGUUCAAGUUGUACUUAAGUAAAGGAAAAGAACACAGCUUAUACAAUAAUUGCCCGUGAGAUGGCGCCAGGGGCAGCAUCGGAGGACAUGUUUGUACCCACGGAUUAAUCAUCAACUGAAGGCGGCCUAGCAAUCGGUAUCACUGGGGAAAUCAAAGGUUUGUAUGAAGCUUGGAAAAUUGGUGGAAAUUUCCCUGGAGAGAUCUCUUUCAGCCAACCAUCAUAAAGCUCCGUGAAGGAUUGAACGUAAGUGAACCAUUGGCAGUGGUCAUUAAAGAGCAGCUGCAGACGACAGUUUUUUUGAGACAGGAAAAUUUAAGGUACAUGUAAGGUAACUAAGUGUUGUGUUUACUUUAAGAAACAGUUAGGUUUUUGAGUUGUUGAGUUUAUUGGCUAAAAUGUUUAAUAGUGUUGCAACCAUCCUUUCAAUUAUUCAUGUUAACCGCUAGAACUAAUGUUGUUCACGAUUGAAUGACUGGAUUGAUAUGCAUUUUUCUUUUUCAUAUUUUACCACAGAUUAUUGUUAACAAACCCUCAGACUGAACGGCCAUACAAACAAGGGGAAACCAUCAAAAUGCCACUCUUGGCAAAAACGUUCGAAACAAUAGCAGAUAAUCAUAUCCGCAUGUGCUGUACAGUGGCUCCCUGGCUGAAGACGUCGUUGCGGACAUUAAGUGGAAUCAUUACUAAACAAGACUUACAGAAGUCCGUGGCCGUAAUCAAAGAGCCCCUGAUGAUUAAACUUAACGAUGAUUCUACCAUCUUCACGCCACCACCGCCAUCUAGUGGCGCAGUGUACGCCAUGAUUCUUAACAUAGCCGACAAAUAUGGAUUUAACCCAGACAGUGUCUCGACCCCCAAAGAGUCAACGUUGACUUGGCAUAGAAUUGUCGAGGCCAUGAAAUUUGCGUUUGCAAAAGGAAGUGAUCUGGGGGACCCCGAUAUGGAUAGUCAGACCUUUAAAGAUGAAAUCGAUGAGCUUGUAAAAAACAUGACAUCAUCAAGUUUCGCCGAUUACAUUCGCUCUAAAAUCUCGGACACUGCAACGUUUGACACUUUGUACUAUGGACCAACGUUUUACGACCAAUCAAGAACCGGAACAUCACAUUUAUCAGUUUUGGCGCCAAAUGGGGAUGCCGUUUCUUUAACCAGCACCAUUAAUUUAUCCUUCUGCUGCAAACUUCAUCAAGCCCGGGAAAAGACCUCUGUCCUCCAUGUGUCCCAGUAUAGUGGCGGACUCUGAUGGACAUGUCACGUUAGUGGUGGGAGCUUCCGGCGGUACUAGAAUCACCACUUCCACAGCUUUAGUUAGCAUUGAAACCCUGUGGUUUAAGUACGGAAUAAAGAAAACCAUAGACCACAAACGUCUUCAUCAUCAGCUGUUACCAGCCUACAUUACUGUGGAAGAAGGAUUUAAUCCUCAAGUUAUAAACGGAUUAAGACGGAUCGGCCACAACAUCACAAUGUCUGCCAGUGCUGGCUCUAUUGUUCAGGGUAUUCUGCAACUCGAGGAAGGCAAGAUAACUGCUAACGCAGACUACAGGAAAAGAGGAGUUCAGGAUGGAUACUAAAUCAUACUUUGUGGCAAUUAUUGCUAAAAUAUAAAAUAGUUUUGGUCGUUUCUAUAAAAUUCUUUUUAAAAUUGUACGUGUAACGAUAAAUAAAAUUAAGUCUAUUUUU